rnacentral:rRNA from 1 species
AUGUCGUGGAUGCCUCCCUAUGCUCAUAUAGAAUCAUAUCCAUCAUGGGACAGGUAUGAUACAAGGGCACAUUCUCCAUCUUAUUUUAGACCAUCUCACCAAUAUUAUGCAGCCCCGAGAAGAUCAACAUUUGAACAAUCACAUGUUAAAGACCGUUUCAAUCAUAAGGAAUCGGUCCAGAGCUCAAGGAAGAAGAAAGAGAUGGUCAAGCAAGUUUACCGUGUUAAAAGAGAUGGUCGUAAUAGUGCAACUUUAGAUUUGAUCUCAAGUGAAAAAGAGCCAAUUAAAGUGUUGACAUUGGCUACUAAAGGCAAUGAGACAAAGAAACCAAUUAUUGAGAUUCAAAGUGCCAAAUCUGAAGAAAAGAAGUUGAGAGUGCAUAAGGCCAAAAAGGAAUUGCCAUUGGUCAAAAAAGAAUCAUAG